rnacentral:lncRNA from 1 species
AGGGAAGGAGUAAAACACCGGGCUAACUGUCCCUUUUCUGUUGGGAGGGCUGAAAGCCAAUGCUGCUCUGGUUAACAUGAUUUUCCCAAUCACCUCAGAGAUUAAACACCUUAUGGCGAAACCAGUAGCGCCAGGAGGACCAGCACAUCGGACCAGCACGUCUAUGUGCAUCUUUGGGUCCAGGAGCAUGGGCCAGAGGGCCCAGCAUCGCCUUUAGCACCAGCAGUGCCAGGAUAACCUUCAGCACCAGGACCGACAGUGCCGGAGGUCCAGGAACACCUCGCUCUCCAGUUUUGCCAGGCUCUCCAGCAGCACCCGGUCCACAACACUCGCCAGGGAGUCCAGGCAGGCCAGUAGGUCCAGGUUCACCUUGGACUCCUCUCUUGCCCUCUUCUCCAGCAGGGCCAGGGGGCCUUGAAUACCAGUGGGGCCAGGCUCUCCUUUGCUGCCAGGAGCACUCAGGGUCAAUGCUGUUGCCCCUGGGACCAGGGGGGCCGCUAGUGCUAAAAGUCCAGAGGGGCUCCUCAGAGACCAACUUCACACUUAGAACUGUGGGAAGUAACAUAAUGCCUUUUCCAUCAAUGGAAAUCUUGGUGACUCCAUUUUGCUCUGGUUUCUGCUGAAAUGCCCUCCUGAGACCCUCCUUUCCCUCUUCUCCCAGUAACCAUUUGUUUCAAAUUAGCCACCAGAGAAGAAUGUGAGCCCUGACCUGACCGAUGGGAAGGGGACAGGUACAUCGCCUGCGUUAGGGAUCAAUAGGGAGGGUCUUUUCUUCUUUGUGUUUGCUUUUUGAGCACCUGCGCCCUUCUGCAGAAGUAAAGAGCCUUGUCAAGAUCUCCCCCUGUUCAUGCCUCUCAUUUUUCAACACUGACCAUCUGAGCCAUGUCCCCAACAGCACUAGGGAAGCCAGAAGGACCACUGGCACCCAUGGGAUGAGGGGUCUAGCAGCACCAAUAGCAUCAUCAUUUCCAUAAGCACCAGCAAGGCCAGGGGGUCCAGUGUGAUUUCUCACUAUGGGGGCCCAUUUGACCAGGAGCUCCAUUUUCACCAGGGC